AGUGCGAGGGCAUAUANCCCUCGCUUUUGUACACCGUAAGGUGGUGUACGAAUAAGAGCUGGGCAAGACCGGUGCCAGCCGCCGCGGUAAUACCGGCAGCUCGAGUGAUGGCCGAUCUUAUUGGGCCUAAAGCGUCCGUAGCUGGCCAGGCAAAUCCGUUGGGAAAUCUGCUCGCUUAACGAGCAGGCGUCCAGCGGAAACUGCUUGGCUUGGGACCGGAGGACCUGAGGGGUACGUCCGGGGUAGGAGUGAAAUCCUGUAAUCCUGGACGGACCACCGGUGGCGAAAGCGCCUCAGGAGGACGGAUCCGACAGUGAGGGACGAAAGCUAGGGUCUCGAACCGGAUUAGAUACCCGGGUAGUCCUAGCUGUAAACGAUGCUCGCUAGGUGUGGCGCAGGCUACGAGCCUGCGCUGUGCCGUAGGGAAGCCGAGAAGCGAGCCGCCUGGGAAGUACGUCUGCAAGGAUGAAACUUAAAGGAAUUGGCGGGGGAGCACUACAACCGGAGGAGCCUGCGGUUUAAUUGGACUCAACGCCGGACAUCUCACCGGCUCCGACAGUAGUAAUGACGGUCAGGUUGAUGACCUUACCCGACGCUACUGAGAGGAGGUGCAUGGCCGCCGUCAGCUCGUACCGUGAGGCGUCCUGUUAAGUCAGGCAACGAGCGAGACCCGCACCCCUAAUUGCCAGCAGUACCCUUUGGGUAGCUGGGUACAUUAGGGGGACUGCCGCUGCCAAAGCGGAGGAAGGAACGGGCAACGGUAGGUCAGUAUGCCCCGAAUGAGCCGGGCAACACGCGGGCUACAAUGAUUGAGACAAUGGGAAGCCACUCCG
rnacentral:rRNA from 1 species